rnacentral:rRNA from 1 species
CAGUAGCCGCGGUAAUACAGAGGGUGCGAGCGUUAAUCGGAUUUACUGGGCGUAAAGCGUGCGUAGGCGGCUAAUUGAGUCGGAUGUGAAAUCCCCGAGCUUAACUUGGGAAUUGCAUUCGAUACUGGUUAGCUAGAGUGUGGGAGAGGAUGGUAGAAUUCCAGGUGUAGCGGUGAAAUGCGUAGAGAUCUGGAGGAAUACCGAUGGCGAAGGCAGCCAUCUGGCCUAACACUGACGCUGAGGUACGAAAGCAUGGGGAGCAAACAGGAUUAGAUACCCCAGUAGUCCCUGUCUCUUAUAU